CAUUUGCAUUCCACCAUUGUGUGAUCGAGGUUUGUUAUUGUCUUUCGUGGCCUCCUUUAUCGAAGGAGCUGCUGUCGUCGUUGUUGCAAAGCAAUGGGAGAAUCAGAGUUCACAAUAGAGCUCCAUCACGGA